rnacentral:rRNA from 1 species
UACGUAGGGUGCGAGCGUUAAUCGGAAUUACUGGGCGUAAAGCGUGCGCAGGCGGCUUUGCAAGACAGAUGUGAAAUCCCCGGGCUCAACCUGGGAACUGCAUUUGUGACUGUAUAGCUAGAGUACGGGAGAGGGGGAUGGAAUUCCGCGUGUAGCAGUGAAAUGCGUAGAUAUGCGGAGGAACACCGAUGGCGAAGGCAAUCCCCUGGACCUGUACUGACGCUCAUGCACGAAAGCGUGGGGAGCAAACAGG